rnacentral:piRNA from 1 species
UGGAAGCUCUUGGGGUAGCCAGUUGGUC